GAACUAUCGAGGUUGAAUCCCUCUCUCUCCU
rnacentral:tRNA from 1 species